AGCGCUGAAGUAAGAAGGUGCGCCGGUAUGCAUCAUCUUACAGAGCUUUCAGGAGGGGUUGUGCAGUGAAACCUCAAACCGGCGUAGGCCGCCUGGCGGCCGAAAGAAAAUGCU
rnacentral:sRNA from 1 species